AUUGAACGCUGGCGGCAUGCCUUACACAUGCAAGUCGAACGGAGUGAUGGUGCUUGCACUAUCACUUAGCGGCGGACGGGUGAGUAAUGCUUAGGAAUCUGCCAUUUAGUGGGGGACAACAUUCCGAAAGGAAUGCUAAUACCGCAUACGUCCUACGGGAGAAAGCAGGGGAUCUUCGGACCUUGCGCUAAAUGAUGAGCCUAAGUCGGAUUAGCUAGUUGGUGGGGUAAAGGCCUACCAAGGCGACGAUCUGUAGCGGGUCUGAGAGGAUGAUCCGCCACACUGGGACUGAGACACGGCCCAGACUCCUACGGGAGGCAGCAGUGGGGAAUAUUGGACAAUGGGCGGAAGCCUGAUCCAGCCAUGCCGCGUGUGUGAAGAAGGCCUUUUGGUUGUAAAGCACUUUAAGCGAGGAGGAGGCUCUCCUAGUUAAUACCUAGGAAGAGUGGACGUUACUCGCAGAAUAAGCACCGGCUAACUCUGUGCCAGCCGCCGCGGUAAUAC
rnacentral:rRNA from 1 species